AUCCUGUUGUAGCUCAUAAGCAUGAUGAUUGAGGUUUCACACACAUUAAUGAAAUAUGCCUCCCUUAAACUGAUAUGGACA
rfam:Gorilla gorilla gorilla genomic chromosome, chr1, whole genome shotgun sequence